UACGGGGGGUGCGAGCGUUGUCCGGAAUCACUGGGCGUAAAGGGCGCGUAGGUGGUUUGAUAAGGGUGUGGUGAAAGCCCGGGGCUCAACCCCGGGUCUGCCGUGCCGACUGUCAAACUCGAGGGCUGUAGAGGCAGACGGAAUUCCGGGUGUAGCGGUGGAAUGCGUAGAGAUCGGAAAGAACACCAACGGCGAAAGCACUCUGCUGGGCCGACACUGACACUGAGAGACGAAAGCGUGGGGAGCGAACCGG
rnacentral:rRNA from 1 species